UCUGUGGCUCAGUCGGUAGAGCGACUGAUUCGUAAUCAGUAGAUCACGGGUUCGAGUCCCGUCAG
rnacentral:tRNA from 1 species